rnacentral:rRNA from 1 species
GUGAGGAAUUUUCCGCAAUGGGCGAAAGCCUGACGGAGCAAUGUCGCGUGAAGGAUGAAGGCCUAUGGGUUGUAAACUUCUUUUCUCAGAAAAGAAUUAUGACGGUAUCUGAGGAAUAAGCAUCGGCUAACUCUGUGCCAGCAGCCGCGGUAAGACAGAGGAUGCAAGCGUUAUCCGGAAUGAUUGGGCGUAAAGCGUCUGUAGGUUGUUUAAAAAGUAUUCUGUCAAAGAUUAGGGCUUAACCCUAGAUAGGCAGAAUAAACUUUUAAGCUAGAGUGUGGUAGAGGCAGAGGGAAUUCCCGGUGGAGCGGUGAAAUGCGUAGAUAUCGGGAGGAACACCAAAGGCGAAGGCACUCUGCUGGGCCAAUACUAACACUGAGAGACGAAAGCGAGGGGAGCAAAUGGGAUUAGAUACCCCAGUAGUCC